GGAGAAGAAUGGGUUAUCAGCGAGAAGGAACAAUGAUAGAAGGGGGCACCGUGAAGGUGAUGGCUUAUGGCGAUUUGGAGGAGGAAGAGGAUGAGAAGGUAAAAUGGAUAAGGAGGAAGGGAAGGAGGUGUAGGAAGCCGCUAUGGAGGAGGAGAAAUGAGUAAGGAGGAGAGGAGGGGAAAAGAUUUUUUAUUAAUAAAAAGAGAUAGAUGCAGAUGGGCCAUCUAAAGGAGUAGGGCUCAUGAGUUGGUUUGAAAGAGAAAGAUGAUGAGGAGGAAGG
rnacentral:lncRNA from 1 species